GUGCACGCUGGCGGUAGGCCUAACACAUGCAAGUCGAACGGCAGCACAGUAAGAGCUUGCUCUUACGGGUGGCGAGUGGCGGACGGGUGAGGAAUACAUCGGAAUCUACUUUUUCGUGGGGGAUAACGUAGGGAAACUUACGCUAAUACCGCAUACGACCUACGGGUGAAAGCAGGGGAUCUUCGGACCUUGCGCGAUUGAAUGAGCCGGUGUCGGAUUAGCUAGUUGGCGGGGUAAAGGCCCACCAAGGCGACGAUCCGUAGCUGGUCUGAGAGGAUGAUCAGCCACACUGGAACUGAGACACGGUCCAGACUCCUACGGGAGGCAGCAGUGGGGAAUAUUGGACAAUGGGCGCAAGCCUGAUCCAGCCAUACCGCGUGGGUGAAGAAGGCCUUCGGGUUGUAAAGCCCUUUUGUUGGGAAAGAAAAGCAGCAGGUUAAUACCCCGCUGUUCUGACGGUACCCAAAGAAUAAGCACCGGCUAACUUCGUG
rnacentral:rRNA from 1 species